rnacentral:rRNA from 1 species
CGGGUGAGUAAUGCGUGACCAACCUGCCCCAUGCUCCAGAAUAGCUCUUGGAAACGGGUGGUAAUGCUGGAUGCUCCAACUUGACGCAUGUCUUGUUGGGAAAGUGUUUAGUGGCAUGGGAUGGGGUCGCGUCCUAUCAGCUUGUAGGCGGGGUAAUGGCCCACCUAGGCUUCGACGGGUAGCCGGCCUGAGAUGGCGGACGGUCACAUUGGGACUGAGAUACGGCCCAGACUCCUACGGGAGGCAGCAGUC